GACGAACGCUGGCGGCGUGCCUAAUACAUGCAAGUCGAACGCACUCUCGUUUAGAUUGAAGGAGUUUGCUCCUGAUUGAUAAACAUUUGAGUGAGUGGCGGACGGGUGAGUAACACGUGGGUAACCUGCCCUAAAGUGGGGGAUAACAUUUGGAAACAGAUGCUAAUACCGCAUAAAACCUAACACCGCAUGGUGUAGGGUUGAAAGAUGGUUUCGGCUAUCACUUUAGGAUGGACCCGCGGUGCAUUAGUUAGUUGGUGAGGUAAAGGCUCACCAAGACCGUGAUGCAUAGCCGACCUGAGAGGGUAAUCGGCCACACUGGGACUGAGACACGGCCCAGACUCCUACGGGAGGCAGCAGUAGGGAAUCUUCCACAAUGGACGAAAGUCUGAUGGAGCAACGCCGCGUGAGUGAAGAAGGUUUUCGGAUCGUAAAACUCUGUUGUUGGAGAAGAAUGUAUCUGAUAGUAACUGAUCAGGUAGUGACGGUACCCAUACAGAAAGCCACGGCUAACUACGUG
rnacentral:rRNA from 1 species